AUUGAACGCUGGCGGCAUGCCUUACACAUGCAAGUCGAACGGCAGCACGGGAGCAAUCCUGGUGGCGAGUGGCGAACGGGUGAGUAAUAUAUCGGAACGUGCCCAGUCGUGGGGAUAACGUAGCGAAAGCUACGCUAAUACCGCAUACGAUCUAUGGAUGAAAGCGGGGGAUCGCAAGACCUCGCGCGAUUGGAGCGGCCGAUAUCAGAUUAGGUAGUUGGUGAGGUAAAGGCUCACCAAGCCGACGAUCUGUAGCUGGUCUGAGAGGACGACCAGCCACACUGGGACUGAGACACGGCCCAGACUCCUACGGGAGGCAGCAGUGGGGAAUUUUGGACAAUGGGCGCAAGCCUGAUCCAGCAAUGCCGCGUGCAGGAUGAAGGCCUCGGUUGUAACUGCUUUGUUACGACGAACGGUAGAGCUCUAAUACAGUUGUCUAAUGACGGUACCGUAAGAAUAAG
rnacentral:rRNA from 1 species